rnacentral:rRNA from 1 species
CUACGGGAGGCAGCAGUGGGGAAUAUUGGACAAUGGGCGAAAGCCUGAUCCAGCGAUUCUGCGUGGAGGAUGAAGCAUUACGGUGUGUAAACUCCUUUUCUGGUGGAAGACGAAUGACGGUACACCAGGAAUAAGCACCGGCUAACUCCGUGCCAGCAGCCGCGGUAAU